rnacentral:rRNA from 1 species
UGGGGAAUAUUGCACAAUGGGGGAAACCCGUGAUGCAGCAACGCCGCGUGAGUGAAGAAGUAUUUCGGUAUGUAAAGCUCUAUCAGCAGGGAAGAAGAUGACGGUACCUGACCAAGAAGCCCGGCUAACUACGUGCC